UAGACUGUCCACAUAGGAUUGGAUAAUCAACCAAUCAGAAAAGACAUUUUUGACACGUCAGCAAAUCCUUAGAAAUGUGGGCUUCGUUACUUUUUUUUACCCCAAAAUGUUGAUGUUAAUCGGGCCCAUGGAGCCCAUUUCGUUGCUCUUCGUCUUCUUCGUUUCACUUUUCACGAUCUCGGAUCUCUAUUUUUGAGAUAUGCUUGAAUGCUUUACAUUAAAUGUUCAUUAUGUUUAUCAAGUUCACAUUAUAUCACCAAAUCUUACCACGAUUUCACAGUCAAUGCACUCUCCAAGGCGGUGCAUCUACAUCUAUAAAGAGGUUAGUCUACAUACCGUAAGCAUCGUCCUCACAAAUCCAUAUAACACUUGAAUCUGAUUAUUUUCAUGUGUUUGUCUCGAUACGUUUUCUCUUUUGUGUUUUCAUGUUUUUUCAGAUUGAAUCUGAUUAUCUUUGAUCAUCAAUUGUGUGUUUGAGAUCAUUCGAUUCUGAUUUUAUUAAUCUGAUAUCCAUAUCGGAAUUUAGGGCUACUUAGAUCGAUUUCAGUUGAAUCGAUAUUUUUUAUUCGAAUUGGUUUAAGAUUGCAUAAACAAUAAUAACCGUCACUGGAUUGAUCUCAGUGUGGGUUAAUCACUUCUCUAUAACCAGGACCAAGCCGACCAGAUCUUGGGAAGAAGAAACUCAGAACCAUUUCUUCAAGAAAUAAUACUCGCUCAAGUAUAACAUCUGAGCUUCUUUGCUGGAGCUUUCUGAAGCUAAGCGCAGGAGGUAUGAGGCCCUGGGCCUUGACACUUAACAUGUGUUCUUCCUGACAAAUGAUGCUAAUCCACGAGAUCUUCUGAUGAACACUACGAAUCGCUUCUGAUCGUUUUUGUCUUAUCUACCAUUGGCUCAACACAAACCACAUGGAGAUCGAAAAUAUUUGCUGCUGCCAUUCAGUGUGAAGCAGACUUCGUCGGAAGUGUAUGGCAAAGAUUCUCUGUGAGGAGAUGGAGUUGAGAUGAGGAUGAGAGCUCCUACUUCUCUUUGAAGAAAUUUAUGGACGGUUCAGACUAUUACUCAGUUAGAGCCGGUGCUAAUUUGGAAAGAGCUUUCAUGAUGUUUUGUAUGCUCGCCGGCGGCGUCAAAGAAUUUCUAUUCUUUGGCACCGUUUUUGACUGUGCUAUUCCUGAGUUUGUAACAUGUGUUUUAAGAAGUGGCUUGGUUUUAUCAAGUCUUAUCAACUUCUGAUGGAUUUUUUUGGGCGUACGUUGCAAAACGUAUUGGCUUUGAAUGCAGCAGCCGAUUAGUCU